GGAAGUCUUUUCAGAAUAAGAGCUUUUGGAUGCCAAGGGAUGCAGAGUGUCUAACUGACGGAGACGUAAAUUAUGAUGCUUCGUCAAGAGUUAAACCAAAGCGUUCUCACCAAUGGUUUAUGGAUGCGUUUGAACCUGAGCAGUUCUGCAACAAGAAGCAAGCAGUAGAAGUAGAUGGCAGCAGACCAAUGUCAGGGACUUCAAAUGCAAACAUUUCUAUGCGGCAAAACAAUUCAAGUUUCCAAUCAGUCUCGGAGCAGUUUACGGAUCACCUCUUUGGAUCUGAAACUGCAAGGGCCUUCAACCUGGUUGAUAGAAGCAUUCCAGCUGUUGGUACGGGAAAUUUAAAUCUGGAAAUAAAGGGUUUUGAGGAUCAAUUUGGAAGCGAUUCCUCGGUUGGUUUAUCUAUGUGGCAUACAAUCGAACAUCCCUCGUCGUGUCUCAGUUAUGAUGGGAUUAGAUAAGUAAAAGUCAAUGAAGUCAGAGACUCUGACAAUGAUAAGCCAAUAUCAAUGGGAUCCUGCUAUAGUAGGGGAGAUAGCAGUAGUAUUUCAAUCAGGGCUGGAUAUAAUAAGAUCGAUAACAAUAUUACGAUGCCCUCGACAUAUAAUGGUGGAAAUGAGAAUACCAUUUCGAUGGGCCCUACCUAUAACAAGGCAGAUGACAAUUUUAUUUUAAUGGGUCAAACGUUCGACAAAGGAGAUAGCAGUUUCAUGCAUCUGGGUCAGGAUUAUGACAAUGGAGAUGCUAAUGUUGUAGCGAUGAGUCAGCCUUUUGACAAGAGGAAUGGAGGUUUCAUACAAAUGGGUGAUCAAUAUGAGAAGGGAAAUGGGAGGGUCCUUUUUACAACAAGGAGCCUGAGAAUUACAUUCCGAUCUGUUCUGCCUUUUGACAAAACCAAUUAAGGUUUCAUUUCAAUUGGUCCCUCUUAUGGGAAGGGGGAUGAUGACAUAUGGGUCCAAUUUCUGACAAGGCAGGUACAAGCGUUGUAUUGAGGAGUGCCACCACCUAUAACAAAGGAAAUUCUAGCAUUCUAUCAAUGGGACAGAACUACAACAAGGGUGGGAGCAGUACUAUAUCUUUUGGAGGUUUGAGGAUGAAGCCGGAACAAAUCCCUAUGGUGGAAUCAUUAGUGGCUAUGGCUUGUUGACUAGUCAAGCCUCGUCUCUAACUUUGAACCCGCUAGGAAUGGAUGAUUCAGUUGAGCAUAAUACUGGUUUUGUUGCAAGUGGUGCUCCUGCAGUGGCUUCUAAAAGUAAUGCCACCCCGAAGAUUAAGGAGCCAAAGCUACCACCAAGAAUGUUCCUCCUAACAACUUUCCUUCAAAUGUCAAAAGCUUGUUAUCGAAUGGUAUGUUUGAUGGAGUUCCAGUGAAGUAUGUGUCCUGAUCACGGGAGAAAAAUUUCAAAGGAAUCAUAAAAGGGAAUUGUCAUCUGUGUGGCUGCAACGAUUACAAGUUCUCCAAGGCUCUUAAUGCUUAUGAACUGGAGCGUCAUGCUGGUUGUAAGACCAAGCACCCGAAUAAUCACAUUUACUUCGAGAAUGGAAAGACGUCUAUGCGGUGGCCCAAGAGCUGAAGAGUACCCCUCAGGAGAUGCUGUUCGAAGUUAUUCAAAAUGUGACUGGAUACCCCUUAAAUCAGACCAACUUCUGUAUUUGGAAAGCAUCAUUUCAAGUUGCAACCCGCGAACUCCAGCUCAUCUAUGGGAAGGAAGAAAUGAUCAUGCCAUCUUGAUUUGUGAACGUUGCCUUCUAUAAAUUUGCAAUCAUUGAAUAUGUGGUGUUCACCGAUAUGGUGAACUUGUAAAUUUGGCAUGGAAAUUUUGGGGUACAAUGGUGAGACAGAGUAUUUAAUUAGCUUUGAAUCUUUUUCUGUAGAGACCUUAAUUUUGUAGUAGUGUUUUAAUUUCCGGACCCAAUUUUCUCGA